rnacentral:rRNA from 1 species
UGCGGAAGGAUCAUUACAAGAACACGGCGUCCGUUCGCGCGGGCGCCGGAUCUUACACCACUGUGUACCCAGCCAUUCGUUGCCUUGGCGGGCCUGCCCCUGCCUCCCCUUCCACAUCCACCGAAUGCAGCCGAGGGACGUCCUCCCACUCCGAACCCGCCCCUCCGGCGCGGAGCGUAGGACCACCGGUGAAGCUGCGGUGUGGCUCUUGGGGGCGCAGCCGUGCCCGCCGCCGGGCCAACACAAGACCGCUUUCGUCGAGAUGUACCGUCUGAUUCCACGAAAAACACAAGAAAAUACAACUUUUAACAAUGGAUCUCUUGGCUCCGGCAUCGAUGAAGAACGCAGCGAAAUGCGAUAACUAGUGUGAAUUGCAGAUUUCAGUGAAUCAUCGAGUCUUUGAACGCACAUUGCGCCUCUUGGUAUUCCUCGAGGCAUGCCUAUUCGAGCGUCGUUUCGCCCCUCAAGCGCGAGCUUGGCGUUGGGGAUCGCCGCCGUGUCCUCGGCGGCGUCCCUCGAAUCCAUCGGCGGUGCCGGUCCCGGCCCACAGCGCAGCAGACAUGCGGCUCCUGGACGGCCCGACGCCCGCCGGACAACCCACGAAACCCUUAGACGUCGACCUCGAAUUAGGUAGGGAUACCCGCUGAACUUAAGCAUAUCAAUAAGCGGAGG